rnacentral:rRNA from 1 species
UACAGAGGGUGCGAGCGUUGUCCGGAAUCACUGGGCGUAAAGAGCGCGCAGGCGGUCGAUCAAGUCGAGUGUGAAAGCCCCCGGCUCAACUGGGGAGGGUCAUUCGAUACUGAUCGACUCGAAGGCAGGAGAGGGUAGUGGAAUUCCCGGUGUAGUGGUGAAAUGCGUAGAUAUCGGGAGGAACACCAGAGGCGAAGGCGGGUUACUGGGCUGAUACUGACGCUGAUGCGCGAAAGCCAGGGGAGCAAACGGG